rnacentral:misc_RNA from 1 species
GUAAAUCCUUGGAAGCUAAUGAUAUAAUCGAAGAUGACUUCUCUGCAACCAGCCACGAACUCUUCACCGUGAUGAUAAUUGCCAUUAGAAAUCUGUUCUUAAUUCCCUGCUAUCUAAUCAACAUCGAUACGGCUAUUUCUCUGGAAACAUACGUUCCAACCACUCGAUCUUGCCAACAUCGUGCUCCUUUGUCAAGUUUACCUGGAAACUUGCAAUUCUGCUCGGGAACUUGGAACCAAGUCUACUAUCAACUCCUUCUCUGAACAAACUUAAACACCUACAGCUUCUAUCAAACACAUUGAUUAGCUAUUUAACAUUGUACUUCAGAGGAGAUUCGAACAAACUGUCUAAUAAACCGUUAUGAAAUCA